GAGGGCCGUAGCUCAGUCGGUAGAGCGCCGGAACGCUUGCACAGCUUCCUGAUUGGCCGGAGGUCGCGGGUUCAAGUCCCGUCGGACCCCG
rnacentral:tRNA from 1 species